CGAACGGGUGAGUAACGCGUGAGUAACCUGCCCUGGAUGGGGGACAACAGUUGGAAACGACUGCUAAUACCGCAUAAGCCCACGAUCCGGCAUCGGAUUGAGGGAAAAGGAUUUAUUCGCUUCAGGAUGGACUCGCAUCCAAUUAGCUAGUUGGUGAGGUAACGGCCCACCAAGGCGACGAUUGGUAGCCGGACUGAGAGGUUGAACGGCCACAUUGGGACUGAGACACGGCCCAG
rnacentral:rRNA from 1 species